rnacentral:rRNA from 1 species
UAUGUGAUCGUCUCUCGCAUAUCAAUAAGCGGAGGAAAAGAAACUAACUAGGAUUCCCUUAGUAAUGACGAGUGAAGCGGGAAGAGCUCAAAUUUGAAAUCUUAAAGGGUUUCCCUUUACGAAUUGUAGUUUAAAGAAGUGUUUUCUGUUGAGGUUUUGGUAAAAGUUCUUUGGAAUAGGACAUCAUAGAGGGUGAGAAUCCCGUAUUUGACCUUUACUUUCAACUUUGUGAUACACUUUCAAAGAGUCGGAUUGUUUGGGAAUGCAGUCCAAAAUGGGUGGUAAAUUUCAUCUAAAGCUAAAUAUUGGCGAGAGACCGAUAGCGAACAAGUACCGUGAGGGAAAGAUGAAAAGAACUUUGAAAAGAGAGUUAAACAGUACGUGAAAUUGUCAAAAGGGAAGCGUUUGACACCAGUGUUGUUUUUCUGAAAAUCAAUUAAAGAACUGUUUAUGCUAAGUUGUUUAGACUUUAUCAGCUAUCUGUUUAGUUUUGAGCUUUUCUUUAAUGCACUUUUCAGUUAACAAGUCAACAUCAAUUUCUUUUGCUGUAAAAAAGCUUGAGGAAGGUGGCUUGAGAUUCGUCUUAAGUGUUUAUAGCCUCUUGCCUAUGCAGUCGGAGAGAUUGAGGUCUGCAGCGUAGAUCCUUCGGGGCUAAAUGCAUUUGUGCUAAGUUAUAGCAUUUUAUAGACAACUUGUUGACUAUGAUUUGUCUUGUAGCUUACUCGCUUAUGUUAUUUUACCUACGCUUAGGAUGUUGAUAUGCAUGACUGAUAU